GGAAUAUUGCACAAUGGGCGCAAGCCCGAUGCAGCCAUGCCGCGUGUAUGAAGAAGGCCUUCGGGUUGUAAAGUACUUUCAGCGGGGAGGAAGGCGGUGAGGUUAAUAACCUCAUCGAUUGACGUUACCCGCAGAAGAAGCACCGGCUAACUCCGUGCCAGCAGCCGCGGUAAUACGGAGGGUGCAAGCGUUAAUCGGAAUUACUGGGCGUAAAGCGCACGCAGGCGGUCUGUCAAGUCGGAUGUGAAAUCCCCGGGCUCAACCUGGGAACUGCAUUCGAAACUGGCAGGCUAGAGUCUUGUAGAGGGGGGUAGAAUUCCAGGUGUAGCGGUGAAAUGCGUAGAGAUCUGGAGGAAUACCGGUGGCGAAGGCGGCCCCCUGGACAAAGACUGACGCUCAGGUGCGAAAGCGUGGGGAGCAAACAGGA
rnacentral:misc_RNA from 1 species